GGGUUGUGAGGUUAAGCGACUAAGCGUACACGGUGGAUGCCCUGGCAGUCAGAGGCGAUGAAGGACGUGCUAAUCUGCGAUAAGCGUCGGUAAGGUGAUAUGAACCGUUAUAACCGGCGAUUUCCGAAUGGGGAAACCCAGUGUGAUUCGUCACACUAUCAUUAACUGAAUCCAUAGGUUAAUGAGGCGAACCGGGGGAACUGAAACAUCUAAGUACCCCGAGGAAAAGAAAUCAACCGAGAUUCCCCAGUAGCGGCGAGCGAACGGGGAGGAGCCCAGAGCCUGAAUCAGUGUGUGUGUUAGUGGAAGCGUCUGGAAAGGCGCGCGAUACAGGGUGACAGCCCCGUACACAAAAAUGCACAUGCUGUGAGCUCGAUGAGUAGGGCGGGACACGUGGUAUCCUGUCUGAAUAUGGGGGGACCAUCCUCCAAGGCUAAAUACUCCUGACUGACCGAUAGUGAACCAGUACCGUGAGGGAAAGGCGAAAAGAACCCCGGCGAGGGGAGUGAAAAAGAACCUGAAACCGUGUACGUACAAGCAGUGGGAGCACGCUUAGGCGUGUGACUGCGUACCUUUUGUAUAAUGGGUCAGCGACUUAUAUUCUGUAGCAAGGUUAACCGAAUAGGGGAGCCGAAGGGAAACCGAGUCUUAACUGGGCGUUAAGUUGCAGGGUAUAGACCCGAAACCCGGUGAUCUAGCCAUGGGCAGGUUGAAGGUUGGGUAACACUAACUGGAGGACCGAACCGACUAAUGUUGAAAAAUUAGCGGAUGACUUGUGGCUGGGGGUGAAAGGCCAAUCAAACCGGGAGAUAGCUGGUUCUCCCCGAAAGCUAUUUAGGUAGCGCCUCGUGAAUUCAUCUCCGGGGGUAGAGCACUGUUUCGGCAAGGGGGUCAUCCCGACUUACCAACCCGAUGCAAACUGCGAAUACCGGAGAAUGUUAUCACGGGAGACACACGGCGGGUGCUAACGUCCGUCGUGAAGAGGGAAACAACCCAGACCGCCAGCUAAGGUCCCAAAGUCAUGGUUAAGUGGGAAACGAUGUGGGAAGGCCCAGACAGCCAGGAUGUUGGCUUAGAAGCAGCCAUCAUUUAAAGAAAGCGUAAUAGCUCACUGGUCGAGUCGGCCUGCGCGGAAGAUGUAACGGGGCUAAACCAUGCACCGAAGCUGCGGCAGCGACGCUUAUGCGUUGUUGGGUAGGGGAGCGUUCUGUAAGCCUGUGAAGGUGUGCUGUGAGGCAUGCUGGAGGUAUCAGAAGUGCGAAUGCUGACAUAAGUAACGAUAAAGCGGGUGAAAAGCCCGCUCGCCGGAAGACCAAGGGUUCCUGUCCAACGUUAAUCGGGGCAGGGUGAGUCGACCCCUAAGGCGAGGCCGAAAGGCGUAGUCGAUGGGAAACAGGUUAAUAUUCCUGUACUUGGUGUUACUGCGAAGGGGGGACGGAGAAGGCUAUGUUGGCCGGGCGACGGUUGUCCCGGUUUAAGCGUGUAGGCUGGUUUUCCAGGCAAAUCCGGAAAAUCAAGGCUGAGGCGUGAUGACGAGGCACUACGGUGCUGAAGCAACAAAUGCCCUGCUUCCAGGAAAAGCCUCUAAGCAUCAGGUAACAUCAAAUCGUACCCCAAACCGACACAGGUGGUCAGGUAGAGAAUACCAAGGCGCUUGAGAGAACUCGGGUGAAGGAACUAGGCAAAAUGGUGCCGUAACUUCGGGAGAAGGCACGCUGAUAUGUAGGUGAAGCGACUUGCUCGUGGAGCUGAAAUCAGUCGAAGAUACCAGCUGGCUGCAACUGUUUAUUAAAAACACAGCACUGUGCAAACACGAAAGUGGACGUAUACGGUGUGACGCCUGCCCGGUGCCGGAAGGUUAAUUGAUGGGGUCAGCGCAAGCGAAGCUCUUGAUCGAAGCCCCGGUAAACGGCGGCCGUAACUAUAACGGUCCUAAGGUAGCGAAAUUCCUUGUCGGGUAAGUUCCGACCUGCACGAAUGGCGUAAUGAUGGCCAGGCUGUCUCCACCCGAGACUCAGUGAAAUUGAACUCGCUGUGAAGAUGCAGUGUACCCGCGGCAAGACGGAAAGACCCCGUGAACCUUUACUAUAGCUUGACACUGAACAUUGAGCCUUGAUGUGUAGGAUAGGUGGGAGGCUUUGAAGUGUGGACGCCAGUCUGCAUGGAGCCGACCUUGAAAUACCACCCUUUAAUGUUUGAUGUUCUAACGUUGACCCGUAAUCCGGGUUGCGGACAGUGUCUGGUGGGUAGUUUGACUGGGGCGGUCUCCUCCUAAAGAGUAACGGAGGAGCACGAAGGUUGGCUAAUCCUGGUCGGACAUCAGGAGGUUAGUGCAAUGGCAUAAGCCAGCUUGACUGCGAGCGUGACGGCGCGAGCAGGUGCGAAAGCAGGUCAUAGUGAUCCGGUGGUUCUGAAUGGAAGGGCCAUCGCUCAACGGAUAAAAGGUACUCCGGGGAUAACAGGCUGAUACCGCCCAAGAGUUCAUAUCGACGGCGGUGUUUGGCACCUCGAUGUCGGCUCAUCACAUCCUGGGGCUGAAGUAGGUCCCAAGGGUAUGGCUGUUCGCCAUUUAAAGUGGUACGCGAGCUGGGUUUAGAACGUCGUGAGACAGUUCGGUCCCUAUCUGCCGUGGGCGCUGGAGAACUGAGGGGGGCUGCUCCUAGUACGAGAGGACCGGAGUGGACGCAUCACUGGUGUUCGGGUUGUCAUGCCAAUGGCACUGCCCGGUAGCUAAAUGCGGAAGAGAUAAGUGCUGAAAGCAUCUAAGCACGAAACUUGCCCCGAGAUGAGUUCUCCCUGACUCCUUGAGAGUCCUGAAGGAACGUUGAAGACGACGACGUUGAUAGGCCGGGUGUGUAAGCGCAGCGAUGCGUUGAGCUAACCGGUACUAAUGAACCGUGAGGCUUAACCUUACAACGCCGAAGGUGUUU
rnacentral:rRNA from 1 species